UACGUAGGGUGCGAGCGUUAAUCGGAAUUACUGGGCGUAAAGUGUGCGCAGGCGGCCGAGCAAGUCGAGUGUGAAAGCCCCGAGCUUAACUUGGGAACUGCGCUCGAAACUACUUGGCUAGAGUGUGGCAGAGGGAGGUGGAAUUCCACGUGUAGCGGUGAAAUGCGUAGAUAUCUGGAGGAACACCGGUGGCGAAGGCGACGUCCUGGACCGGUAUUGACGCUGAGGCGCGAAAGCCAGGGGAGCAAACGGG
rnacentral:rRNA from 1 species